AGUGUGAUCCUAACGUAUACGCAACUUCGUAUAUUGGCGCUGUAUAAGAUUUUUCGUCGACGUUAAUUGACAAUAUUGACAUUGAUUUCCGUCGAACCUGCUAAAAGCAAGCUCGCUUGCCAUGAAGACGAGACACAUAAUCGCACGAUCGCUAAACUGUGACUUUUAUUCACGUAAUCACGAGACACAUUAGAACGUAAUAUGCGUUGCGACUCUUUCGCGAGACAAAGAAUUCUGCAGCAUGGUUCUGAAACAUGGGAAAUUCCGAUAGGUUAGAUAUCUCACUUGUGCAUAUUGGCUCGUAUUCGAGCGGACGAGGCUUGUAAAAUGAUGCAUUACAGUCCAUGGGUUCAACAUCAGCCGAUAUUAAGUCAUCAUUGCUGUGCGCCAUACAUUGACACAAUGCCAUCCUACCAAGAUCAUGAUCACGAGCGUCAUCAGUUAACCGAGGAGGAGACUGAGCAAGCUGGCGAGGAGGCACAUGACACAAUGACGCCUGCUACGUCUGGUGAACGUGGUUCUAGCGCAGAUCUAUUUAGAUUGGAGUUUGCGGCGUCUCAGUGGUCCAAGUUAGUUUCCAAUGCGGAAGGUUUGUUUACAAAGCUCAUGACGAGUAAUGUCUUGCCGCACACUGAUCAGGAUCAGAUUGAACAAUGGCUGUGCAUGAAGCAGGAGUACGAGGAAUGUAUAGCCAGUGAUGAGAGCACUAGUUUGCAAGGAUAUACAGAAAAUGCCAGACGUUCACUAGAACGCAUUGAGGAAGUGACCGAGACCGAUGAAAAAACGGACGAAUCUGCAAAUCAAACAAAACUUAAGCUCAAUUGCGCCUCCAGUUCGGAGAGCGAAUUAUCCGAAGUUGAUGAUGACGAGGACGACGACGAGGAGGAAGAUGACGAGGAGGAAGAUGACGAUCAAAGCGACGUGAGUUCGGAAAAUCCAGAUUUUCUAGAGAAGUUGGAUGAAUGCAUGAACAAGUUUAAGAUAGAGACGGAUAGAAUUGUCGAUUCUACAAAGGAUGAUUUCAGAGAGGCGAACAUUGAGAUUAUAUCGCCGGUAGGGAGAUCCGUAAAUAAUAAUUAUGUACCGGUGUCUCGUCCAAUACCGAUAAGAAAUCCAAAUUCCAGGCGAAACUCAAUGUUACCUGGUUCGGAUAUGUGCAAUGAAGUAUUAGCUUUUAACGAUAGCCUGAAACCUUGCCAAAAUCAAAUCUUUGAAAAUCGUAUCUUGGAAUAUAACAAUCCGUACGCGUUGGAUAAUCGCGAGUCGGAAGUAAACAUCAAUGAUAAUGUCGUUAACGACAAUUUCGUCGCGAUACAAAAUGAUAAUUCACCCGAUCUGUUGCUCGAUGCCCUCAAGAACACAGAAAUAUCCGAACCCAUCAAGGAGUUGAAGGCUCUAACACUGAAUAACGAGGCGAAACAAACGCAGGUGAAGAAAAUUCAAUCAAAUUUAGAUGGUGCCCACAAACGUAUCGAAGAACUGCAGACGACAAUUAAAAUUAAGCAACGUUUCAUAGCGGAUAUGAUAAAGAAUUCCGAUACACGCUCCAAUGCGAAGCAGAAGUUUCAACGUAAGCGCAGUAAACUGGAAGAGGAAUAUUACAACACGAGAACACAAUUGGCACAAGCGGAAAAUGCAUCUCUAUACAAGGAUCUUGAUGAAAAGACACACAAGAAAGAAAUCGAAUUGAUGAAAAAUAUAGCGAUACAUUAUGAGAAACGAAUGAUGGAUAUAGAUAUGAUAAAGCAAAUAGCGGGUGAUUCCGCGAAGAAAGUUUUGGAAUUGGAAGCCUCGUUAAAUACGUCGAAGAAGCAAAUGGACAAAUUAAAGCGACAAUUAAAGAGAGAAGAGGAACGUAAGAAGCAAUUGGAGGACGAACUGGCCAAAGAUCAACAGAAGAUUCGCGAACUCGAAGAAAAGUACAAUUUAACUGCGUCCAAGUUGAAGGAAAUGCAAUCGGAGAGCGAAGAUGAGAAACACAACACGAAAUCUAAAACUGAUUGUUCGGACAAGAUGAAGAACUUGUUAGAUGUUAGCGCAAGGAUAUCUCAUUUGGAUCACGUUCUGAAAGAGAAAUCUAUGGAUCUGGAGAGAACCGCGGAUAUGGACGAGAAGGAAGCGUUACGGCAUGAGAUUAGAAAUUUGAGGCGCACUCGAGACUGUUUGGUGGAUGAGAAAUGCGAUUUAGACGAGAAGUUUCAAAAGGAACGAACUCUGACGACAGUCGAGGAACGUAAACUGCUAGAAUGCGGUGAGACUAUCGAGGCUAUCGACGCGAUGAUCGAGCACAAGAACGAGAUGAUUUGCGGACGAAAGGACUUCGAUGAGAAUCAGUCACAGCGCGAGAAGGGCGAGAGAAUGCUGACGGAGCGCUUGAAGAAACUCUCUCAUGGCGAAAUAAUUACAUUAUUUAUGAAAUACUUCCGCAAGGUGAUCGACUUGAAGGAGAGCUCGAAGAGUUUGGAAGUUCAGAUAACUGAACUCGAGGCCCACAUUGCGAAUCAGGAUUGGCGGCUGAUGGAAGCCGAGAAGCGAAUGAUCUUACUGCAGCGGCAGUAUGAGGACAAGCUGCAUCACGUGUUCAGGCACUUUGCGGAGGAGACGAGCAGCUCCGGUUACGAACGAUUGGAUAAGGAUUCCGAACUCGUUAGGUUCAAGAAGGAGAACCGAGCGUUGAAGAAACGGCUGGCGGAUGUAGAGGCUCUUCUGAAGGGCACGACGCCACCGCGUGCAGCUAGUCCUCCGUGCAGAAUUCUGCAGCAGGAAUUGAAACAGAUCACGCCGAGUACUCGGUCGACGACCAAAGUAACGAGGCAGCGAAAUAAACUGAUAAUUCAAAAGACGACUGAUUGCGACAAAAGGAAAAAAUGAGGUAUUUUAAGGAGUACCAGCUUUAGUUUUUAUUAUAUAUUUAUAAAUGAUUUGAAUCUUUUAUUAUAAAUCUUUUAUUUAUAAGAGGAGAUUACUUACUCGUUUUAUAUGUCACGUUUCCGCGCAAUACCUCGUCGCAGGUAUUUACGAUGGACUGUAUAAAAAAUUAAGUUUUUUUAAAAAUAUAUAGUCUCUUCUAGAUCUUACAUAGAUUGUAAUGUGAUAAUGGUUUCUCUGCGUCAAGCAAUUACCUCUUCUGUAUUUUUAUAGAAUAUAUAUAUAUGUGUAUAUUGAUAUUUUAUAGAUAUAUUCAGUACUUUUGUUUAUUAGGCAAAUUGAAAAUAAGUUUGACGAUAAGUGUACUCAUUAAGAGACGUAUUCUUGGAUAUGAAUUUAACUGCAUGCAAUUUACUCAUAUUGUAUUUAUUACAGGGCAUAGUUCCAAGGUUAUAUAAUUUAACAUCUAGAUGUAAUAUCUACGGAAAUCCUCGUUCGCGCUCGAGAGCGUAUUUGCAUGCCACUCGUAACAUGUUAUUAUUUCAGCAAUUGAUGUAGCAAGUGUCAUCUUGACGAAAUAAUAAGAUAUGAUCGCUUCGUUCUGGUUUAUGCGACAGGAAAGCUUAGAGGUUUGCUGCGAGCCUCGUGUAUAGUGAUGCUCAAUUGUUAUACAUUAAGCUGUGUAUAUUCUCUUAAAUUUCACAAGCAGGUGGCUUUUGGAUGACGACGGAUGUAGUCAGGAAAUUACAUCGUUAAAAUUGAGCUAUUAAAAAAUGUAGCGAUUAAUAGUUAUGAGCCUGAUUAGGAUAUGUUAGGAUUUAUGCAACACAAUGGACUGCUCAGUCGUAUUUCCUGAAUACAUCAAGAAAACUAAGCGAGAGUUAAACGAGAGUUAACAUGAGUUAGGCGUAGAAUACUGUUAUUUAGCAUCAUGAUGAUUCGACAUUACCAUGACACUGGCUUGAUUAAGAUAGAAUC
rnacentral:misc_RNA from 1 species